rnacentral:tRNA from 1 species
GCCCCCGUAGCUCAGGGGACAGAGCGGUAGCCUUCUAAGCUAAUGGUCGCAGGUUCGAAUCCUGCCGGGGGCG